GAUGAACGCUGGCGGCGUGCCUAAUACAUGCAAGUCGAGCGAACGGACGAGAAGCUUGCUUUUCUGAUGUUAGCGGCGGACGGGUGAGUAACACGUGGAUAACCUACCUAUAAGACUGGGAUAACUUCGGGAAACCGGAGCUAAUACCGGAUAAUAUUUUGAACCGCAUGGUUCAAAAGUGAAAGACGGUCUUGCUGUCACUUAUAGAUGGAUCCGCGCUGCAUUAGCUAGUUGGUAAGGUAACGGCUUACCAAGGCAACGAUGCAUAGCCGACCUGAGAGGUUGACCGGCCACACUGAACCUGAGCCACGGCCCAGACUCCAACGGAAGGCGGCAUAAGGAAAUUUUCGGCAAUGGGGGAAACCCUACCGGAGAAACGCGGGGUGGUUGAUGAAGUCCUUCGGAUGUUAAACCCUUUUUAUUAGGGAAAAAAAAUUUUGUAAGUAACUGUGCCCAUCUGGCCGGUCCCAAUCAGAAAGCCACGGCUAACUACGUG
rnacentral:rRNA from 1 species